rnacentral:rRNA from 2 species
UCUGACGGAGCAACGCCGCGUGAGUGAUGAAGGCUUUCGGGUCGUAAAACUCUGUUGUUAGGGAAGAACAAGUACGAGAGUAACUGCUCGUACCUUGACGGUACCUAACCAGAAAGCCACGGCUAACUACGUGCCAGCAGCCGCGGUAAUACGUAGGUGGCAAGCGUUAUCCGGAAUUAUUGGGCGUAAAGCGCGCGCAGGCGGUUUCUUAAGUCUGAUGUGAAAGCCCACGGCUCAACCGUGGAGGGUCAUUGGAAACUGGGGAACUUGAGUGCAGAAGAGAAAAGCGGAAUUCCACGUGUAGCGGUGAAAUGCGUAGAGAUGUGGAGGAACACCAGUGGCGAAGGCGGCUUUUUGGUCUGUAACUGACGCUGAGGCGCGAAAGCGUGGGGAGCAAACAGGAUUAGAUACCCUGGUAGUCCACGCCGUA